GGGGGUGUGGCUCAGUUGGUAGAGCGUUCGCUUAGCAGCUUGUCUGCGAAAGGUCCUGAGUUCGAUUCUUAGCUCCUCCA
rnacentral:tRNA from 1 species